CCUACGGGUGGCAGCAGUGGGGGAUAUUGCACAAUGGGCGGAACCAUGAUGCAGCGACGCCGCGUGAGUGACGAAGGAUUUCGGGAUGUAAAGCUCUAUCAGCAGGGAAGAAAAUGACAGUACCUGACCAAGAAGCCCUGGCUAACUACGUGCCAGCAGCCGCGGUAAUACGCAGGGGGCAUGCGUUAUCCGGAUUUACUGGGUGUAAAGGGAGCGUAGACGGUUAUGUAAGUCUGGAGUGAAAGCCCGGGGCGCAACCCCGGUACUGCGUUGGAAACUGUGUAACUGGAGUACAGGAGGGGCAGGCGGAAUUCCUGGUGUAGCGGUGAAAUGCGUAGAUAUCAGGAGGAACACCGGCGGCGAAGGCGGCCUGCUGGACUGAAACUGACGUUGAGGCUCGAAAGCGUGGGGAGCAAACAGGAUUAGAUACCCCGGUAGUC
rnacentral:rRNA from 1 species